ACAAAUAGAAUACUCCUUUUAUACAGAAUGGAGCGGGUAGCGGGAAUCGAACCCGCAUCAUUAGCUUGGAAGGCUAGGGGUUAUAGUCGACGUUGGUUGAUUAUUUUUAACGUCUCUAAUUCAAAACCGAAAAUGAAAUUUUGA
rnacentral:rRNA from 1 species